AGUCCUUAGAGGUCAAUUUGGAGGAAGGUGACUCAGUAAUGCUCUAUGAUGCAGGACAUAGUACCUCCUCAGCAUUCAGGAAUUUUCAGGAAAUCACUAUAGGAAUGUCAGAUUAUGAAGUAUGACAGAGAUGGCAGAAUCCCAGAAGCUUGUGUACUUUGAUUUUGGUUUUGUUAGGGCUUCUUCUUUGGGAGUCUACUGCCUAGGAUGCAUUCCUUUCAAAGGCCACAGAUGGAAGCAUAGACAAAGCAAAACAAGGUAUAAACUUGAGUGCAUUUCAAAGUGCUCGUGUUCUACCCCCCAGUUUUUCCACUCCUGGUUCUUCAGUACUUGAGCUGCCACCAAAUAUAAUUUCCUGAUGCUUCCUGGUGAGAGUGAUAAGUUCUAUUAACUGCCUCGUCUAAACAUACUCAAUACAUGUCUAUAGCUGUACUGAAUAAACUAUGCCUGUUUUUAUGGGUGCUUGUAAAUAUAACUCACAGAAGCCAUCCCGGCACCUAGCAUGGAAAUGUCUUGUGUCAGCAAAUCCCUCUGCAUAACUUCUUUCAGUAUAACAAAAUCGCAGUGGAUGGAUCCAUUUUUCAUGAUCAAAAGAAACUCCAAUUAAAGAAUUUCUUCAGGUUGCAUGGAUAAUGGAUUACAACAGAGUGUGCCGAAGGCGUAUUAUCUAUUAUGUUAAGACCGGAUUCUCAGGAAUUAACUGUCUUGAUUGUUAAAACACAGUCCUUCUGAGAGUAUUUUAUUACUUCUAUAUUAAAACUUGAGGCAGAAAUAGUCCACAAGAUGCAUGCUCAUCUAGAAGGACCAAUAUUUUAAUAUUCCUUGAGGGGAUGCUGGAACUCAAAUGCUGAAAGGUAUUUAAAACUGAAUACAUUGCAUUUUAUUACUUUAACCAAUAAAAAGUCUUUUCAUUAAGAAUAUGUUUUAAUAACUUAGUGAGGAUUUGAAAGGUUA